UCUCAUUUCAGCAGCUGCUUUUUAUCCUUGGCUGGUGGUGGAGAACUGGGGCCUUACUGGAAAGGCACAGGACACAGGGCUGGACUGCACCCCAGAUGGGACGUCAGUGUGUCACAGGACACAGGGCUGGACUGCACCCCAGAUGGGACGUCAGUGUGUCACAGGACAUGCACACAUGCAGGGGACAAUCUAGAGGUCUGCACAACUGGACAGGGUUUCUGCCCAUAGCGCCUGGGAUCACAGAGAAUCCUGAGCCAAGCAAAUCAGAACCAGACAACUCCCUAGUGCUUUACCUGACAUUUGAUGUCACCACAAAUUGUACCACUGAGCCAAACACCCACAACAUUGUUAAAGCCAUUGUGCAAGAGAUAAAGAACAUCUUGAAGGCAGUCCUGAAGACAGAAGACUUUCAGCUGGAAUACUUUGAAAGCGGAAAAGAGAAUCCAGACACUAAAGCCGUAAAAUGGUCAACCCUUUAAAAUAAAACGUUGUUUGUUCUUAUAGGCAUUUUGCUUAACAUUAGCUUAUUACAAGAAAAUAAUAGAUUCCAACGCUCAGUGACAAAUAAUAACUUCUCUGCUACCUGUAACAAUACUGUGAGCAGCUUUGACAGCUUUGGGAUAUUUCAAAUGUCUCACCAGUCUCUUCUUUAAAAUGAAAGGCAAAGACAGGGUCUCUGCCUGAUUGAGCCUAUAACAAAACAGAAUCCUGUAGGACCAAAAACAAUAUUUUUAUAAAGCAUAUGUUCCAAUUGCAAGCCAUUUGCUUCAGAAUUUCAAGUUUAAAAUGCGGUAAAUUAAUUCCCUGUCCAAACUGACUUAAAACAUACACACAUAUUAAGACAUACACACUAUGGGUGAGUACUUGUUCACAUGAAAAACAACUUGCCUGACCUGUCGCAAACAUAGCUUUAGAAGUCCAGGUCCUUAAUAACUGCACUGCAGUACCCCUGUAGCUAAAGCAGCAGCUCUGCAAUUUGAAAGGUUGCCUGAAAACAAAACGGCAAUGCUUUUAAACAGGGACUCUAUAUGAACUUGCAGGUCUUCCUCCUGAAUACUGUAGCGCCCUCGCCCGGUGGUGAACAGGAAGUGCACCUAGGCGCUGAGGGUAAGUGUUCUCUGAAGCUUAGUGCCCUAUAAAUCAGUGUGCAGUGUCUGUUAAAGAGUGACCACCCUAAACCUGUGUACGUGUUCUGUUGGUUCACAAUGUGUGUGUAAAUCCUGUGGCUGGUGCUCUUGUAAAGGAGAAUAAAAGCUGGUGCUUGUGUGCCUUCUUCAUCUCUGCUUGUC